CGUGACGUCAGCAUGCCUCUCCCUGCUUGGGUUCACUGUGGGGCAUGAGGCUGUUGAGUGAAGCCUAUCAGUCCCUGGGAGGUAUGUGGAGCUUGGUCUCCCUAGAGUUCACGAGCAAGCCAUUUUUGUAUCUGGAUGCGUUAUCUGGGCCUGUGGUAGUUAUCGUGUAAAACUAGAGAGCCAGCCAGGGGAGAAGGCCCCUGUUGGGAACAUUGACCAAGCAAAAUGAUAAAGAAUGGAGAGACCUGUUGUGGUAUCACGGAGUCUCUGGAUUAACCCACCUUGGAGCCACCUGCUUUGUGGACCCGCUGCCAUGUAGGAUGAUGAGACGUUCCUAAGACUGUGAGUUUGGGCCUUCAGGUACCUGCAAGAGAAAGGAUUCUUACUAACCUACCCCAUGUCUUUCAGAAAAGCUGAUGCUCCAGGAAGAUGCACAAUAUUAAUGUCAUGAAUUUGUCCUUCUUCCCCCCACCACGUGUCUUCGAACCCCUGAGAUAAUGAUACCUGCAUUUGAGAAACUCAACCACCACCUUCCUCAUGGUGAUAAGUCAUCUGAUUUUAAGCUCCAAAGGACAGAGACCGGGGCCACAGAUGUGCAUGAUGGGGGAAACCCAAAGAAGUGACAGCAGACCCCAGACUCCAGACAAGGGAGAGCAGGAAAACCUGGCCGACGACGGACCCCAGGCAGAGAGGAACAUUUGUUUGCUGGAUUUACGCUGACAGAAGCAGUGCAGGGAGCCAUGGCGUAAAAAUCCGAAGAACCCUUGGUCGCGUGGCCGGUGGUUUCUGCUGUGUGCCCCUGGGGCAGCACCUGUGAGCUGCUUCAGAGCUAUGGGUUGUCCGCCUUUCCUUCCAGGCUACGUGGGAACGACAGAUCUUUUAAUGAGUAGGUUCAACAAGAGCCGACUUUCCAUCAACAAGAGCCGACUUUCCAUGCGGAGCCCUUUCGGGAAUGCUGGGAAGCACAGACUCUAAAGAAAUCCAUGUUACUGGAGGGUAUUAUGCUGAGUGAAGUAAGUCAGUCGGAGAAGAACAAACAUUAUAUGUUCUCAUUCAUUUGGGGAAUAUAAAUAAUAGUGA